rnacentral:lncRNA from 1 species
AGAAGGGGAGUUUCCUUCCGCCUCCCUAAUGCCAUGGAAUGGGGAAGAGUACAACUCUAGGAUCAGACCCAAAGGGAACUGUUGUGAAUCUUGAUUUUGCGACUUCUUGGCUCUUAGAUUUGGGCCAAUUAUUUGUCAUCUGUGUACCUUAAUUUACUCAGCUAUGAAAGAAGGACUAAAAAUACCUAUCAUAGGAGAAGAAAAUAUGUAAGCAACUUGGCAAUGUGCCUGGGACCUAGUGAGCGAUUCUUCUCACUUAUUAUUGUUUUCUUUGUCAUCGACAUCAUCGUCACCAUUACUUUUCGUUGUCUUUGGAAAUUUGGACAGAGACCACAGGCAGAUGUGGUGCCACAUUCCCACAGGGCUGGAGCAGCGGGUGUGUUUUUCUGUGAUAACAGAGCUUCCUGGAACCAGCAGGGUACAGGUUAUUUGACCUGAAGGGCGAGGGAGUUCAGAGCCUACAGUGAUGAGAGAAAGCCCUGAGUGAACGUUUCCUUUCAGCUUCGUGAGAGGAAGAGUCUAAAUACCGGAGCCAUCCCCAAAACCUGACCAUGAGCAACAGAUGACACGGCAGUUAGGAGCUUCUCUGGGGCCUUGAGGCAGACAGUCUGGGCUGUGUCCUGGCUGUGCCUUUUCCCCUGCUCUGCCUGCAGUCCUGCACAUCUUCACCUCCAGCGGCUUCUCCUUCUCCCAUCCACCCUCUGCGAAGGCAUAGAUAGUAGCACCUCCCUUCUGGAUUCUAUGAGGUAAUAAUUACAUGAGAUGGCAGAGCCUGGAGCACGGGAGCUCCUCAGUGACUCAGCCAUGUUCAUUCCAAGGAGUUCAGGGUCCUUGCAGUCUGCAAACCUUUCCCCUUAUUUUCAAGAUCCUUGAGUCUGACUGUCAAGCAGUAACAUUCCAGCCUCACCUACAACAAUACUUGUAGAUGAAUGGAGCUUCCACUGCCCCCAUGUCACUGGUGAGGGACUUCAGGCAGGGAGAAAGCUCAUCCUUUGCCCAAGGUCACACUGCUGGUAAAAAGCAAAUGAGGUUCAAACUGACCUUCUCAUCCCUGCCCUUGUCCUCCCAACAGGCUCCUCACAGGUGGAAAAAUCAACCCCUACAGCAAACUCAUUGUUUUUUUGACCUCUCCUAAAAUUAAAAUCCAAGAUCCCUCAUGAGCUCUGUGAUCUUGGGUAAGUUUUGAUUUUCUUUUUUUUUGUUUUUUUUUUUUCACCUCUAUGGGUUCCAGUUUCCUCCAAAGAAAAACCAAGGGUUUUGAGACCAUUUAAUUGUCAGUGCACGUCAUGCCAGUUUCAAGUCCUUGACCUCGGGAGAAGGCUAGCCAGUGGCCAGAACCGUCCUCUAUGCUCUGAGGCUGAGAGGCGUCAAAGCAAAGCUCUGUGACACACAUUACCUUUGAGCCCCCAAAGAACAUGAAGGAGCCCAGCCUGGGGGGUGCUUCUACUCUCUCUCUCCCAGUCCAGACUCCAGCUACUUCCACUAAAGAGGAAGGCCAUGCUGAGUGUCUCCAGCUGAGGACAUGUUACUUCAAGACUCAUCUCCUUUGAUGUCUGGUCUCCUUAGCCGCUACGUUGGCAUAGGUGCUGACUGAGUUAACUCCAUUAAUAUUCUCCUUCUUACUCACCUACUUUGCUAUUUAAUAACAUAAUACAUGUUCUUGUAUCUUU